UACGGGGGGGGCAAGCGUUGUUCGGAAUUACUGGGCGUAAAGGGCUCGUAGGUGGCCGACUAAGUCGGACGUGAAAUCCCUCGGCUUAACCGGGGAACUGCGUCCGAUACUGGAUGGCUUGAGUUUGGGAGAGGGACGCGGAAUUCCAGGUGUAGCGGUGAAAUGCGUAGAUAUCUGGAGGAACACCGGUGGCGAAGGCGGCGAUCUGGGAAGAUACUGACGCUGAGGUGCGAAAGCGUGGGGAGCAAACAGG
rnacentral:rRNA from 1 species